GACGAACGCUGGCGGCGUGCUUAACACAUGCAAGUCGAACGGAAAGGCCCUUUCGGGGGUACACGCGUGGCGAACGGGCGAGUAACACGCGGGUGAUCUGCCCUGCACUUUGGGAUAAGUCUGGGAAACUGGGUCUAAUACCGGAUAGGUCUAAGCGAUGCAUGUCGGGUGGGGGAAAGCUUUUGCGGGGUGGGAUGGGCCCGCGGCCUAUCAGCUUGUUGGUGGGGUGAUGGCCUACCAAGGCGACGACGGGUAGCCGGCCUGAGAGGGUGACCGGCCACACUGGGACUGAGAUACGGCCCAGACUCCUACGGGAGGCAGCAGUGGGGAAUAUUGCACAAUGGGCGCAAGCCUGAUGCAGCGACGCCGCGUGGGGGAUGACGGCCUUCGGGUUGUAAACCGCUUUCAGCAGUGACGAAGCGUAAGUGACGGUAUGUGGAAAAGAAGCACCGGCUAACUACGUG
rnacentral:rRNA from 1 species